rnacentral:rRNA from 1 species
CCUACGGGAGGCAGCAGUGGGGAAUAUUGGGCAAUGGGCGCAAGCCUGACCCAGCAACGCCGCGUGAAGGAAGAAGGCUUUCGGGUUGUAAACUUCUUUUAAGAGGGAAGAGUAGAAGACGGUACCUCUUGAAUAAGCCACGGCUAACUACGUGCCAGCAGCCGCGGUAAUACGUAGGUGGCAAGCGUUGUCCGGAUUUACUGGGUGUAAAGGGCGUGUAGCCGGGCCGGCAAGUCAGAUGUGAAAUCCCAAGGCUCAACCUUGGAACUGCAUUUGAAACUGUUGGUCUUGAGUAUCGGAGAGGCAGGCGGAAUUCCUAGUGUAGCGGUGAAAUGCGUAGAUAUUAGGAGGAACACCAGUGGCGAAGGCGGCCUGCUGGACGACAACUGACGGUGAGGCGCGAAAGCGUGGGGAGCAAACAGGAUUAGAUACCCUUGUAGUC